CGGCCGCGGUAUCCUAACCGUGCAAAGGUAGCGUAAUCAUUUGUUCUUUAAAUAGGGACUAGUAUGAAUGGCCCCAUGAGGGUUUAACUGUCUCUUACAACUAAUCAAUGAACCUGAUCUUCCAGUACAAAAGCUGGAAUGACCACAUAAGACGAGAAGACCCUGUGGAGCUUUAAAUACAUAACAAAUACUUAUAAACGCCAUAGGGCACAUUAAGAGUAUUAAUUUUUACCACUUUAGGUUGGGGCGACCGUGGGGUACAACAUAACCCCCAUGAAUACACAAGUACAUCAAGUAGACAUACUACACGCACAAGUAAAUGACCCAGCAACGCUGAUUAACGAACCAAGUUACCCCAGGGAUAACAGCGCCAUCCCCUUAAAGAGUUCCUAUCGUCAAGGGGGUUUACGACCUCGAUGUUGGAUCAGGACAUCCUGGUAGGUGUAGCCGCUUCCAAGGGUUCGUUUGUUCAACGAUUAACAGUCCUACGUGAUCU
rnacentral:rRNA from 1 species